AGACGUAUUAUAAAAUAUUUCGUUGGAAUUUGAAUAUUAACCGUACAUAUUCCAACUGUUGUAUAAUUACCAUUAACUAUACGAAUAGUCAUAAUAGUUACAAAGGUGAAAUAUAUGAUAAAUGUAUAAACGUCACUACUGUCAAAGUGACAGUAGUCUUAGGAUUUGGAUCAUCAUUAAUUGUUUUUAAUAAAUUUGUUACAAAUAUAAUGACAUUGUCGUGCUACAGUUCCUAGGAUUUAAUUUGCCUAUUGUUUAUAUGUAGGAAAAAUGACUCAGUGUAAUGGAAACAUUAGAGAAACGACUUGUUUGGUUGUCAAAUAAAAAUUUCUAACAAAGUCGUGUUUUGGUUUACGAAACUUUGUGAGUGUUUAAAUCAUAAGUUAAAUUGCAGUAUUUUAUAGAUUGUGGUCAAAUAUUGCAGGUGACGAGUUAGUGCAAUGUGUUCCGACGAAGAAAGGUCAUCUUUUGCUGUACAAAGGCUACACUUAUGUUUUUAAAAGUAGAUUACAGUGCGGAGCGGAGCAGUGGUAUUGCUCAUACCGUCAGAAAACGGGUUGUAUAUCUGUUAUCAAUAUGCAAACAUAUGGCGUACAGGUGGAAAUAAGUUACUGUAAAGCCAACUGAACUGUUUUUAGAUCUUAGUCAAUAUAUUGUUGUUCUCUUAGAGAGGCUUGAUUGAGUAAAAUACAAAACAUUGCGUGACUGAUUUUUAUAUUACAAUGAUUACAAAAGUUCUAUUGAACGCCAGCAUAAUAAUACUCUUAAUAACACAAUAGUAGAUGUCGACAAAAACAUUGUGUCAGCAGACAAAAUAUAGUAAGAAACUUAAACGUAAAUAAAGAUUAAAAAACAAUAUUUUCUUUUAUUUCAACCAAAUUAUUGUGAUCUAGUUUAAGAAUUUAUCUAUUAAAAUAAAUUAAUCUUAAUCAGCUGUUUUA